GAUGAAGAACGCAGCGAAAUGCGAUAAGUAAUGUGAAUUGCAGAAUUCAGUGAAUCAUCGAAUCUUUGAACGCACAUUGCGCCCGCCAGUAUUCUGGCGAGCAUGCCUGUUCGAGCGUCAUUACAACCCUCAGGCCCCCGGGCCUGGCGUUGGGGAUCGGCGGAGCCCCCCGUGGGCACACGCCGUCCCCCAAAUGCAGUGGCGGUCCCGCCGCAGCUUCCAUCGCGUAGUAGCUAACACCUCGCGACUGGAGAGCGGCGCGGCCACGCCGUAAAACACCCAACUCUUCUGAAGUUGACCUCGAAUCAGGUAGGAAUACCCGCUGAACUUAAGCAUAUCAAUAAGCGGAGGA
rnacentral:misc_RNA from 1 species